rnacentral:piRNA from 1 species
UGGUAUGUCUGCUCUAAAAGUGGAGUGAUC